CAAAAGGUCCUUCUCAGGACCACCCACUACAAAUUGCGAAAAAAAA
rfam:Aedes albopictus isolate Foshan contig130923, whole genome shotgun sequence.